ensembl:lncRNA
GCAGAGUCUCACACUGUCACCUAGGCUGGAGUUCAGUGGCGUGAUCUCAUCUCACUACAACCUCCACCUCCCAGGUUCAAGCAAUUCUCCUGUCUCGACCUCCUGAGUAGCUGGGAAUAUAGGCAUGCACCACCAUACCCAGCUAAUUUUUGUAUUUUUAGUAGAGACAGGGUUUCAGUAUGUUGCCCAGGCUGGUCUCGAAGUCCUGGCCUCAAGUGAUCUGCCUGCCUCGGCCUCCCAAAGUGCUGGGAUUACAGGAGUGAGCCACUGCACCUGGCCUUAAAGUAGAUUUCAAUAUGGCGUGUGUUUGGGUUCCCUUGUGCAAGGAAGGCUGUGUGUCUCAUAUAUAUAAAGAAAAGGAAAGCUCCAUUUGGUUACUCAUCAUUGUUUUUAGAGAAUAAAGGUUGAUACUUAUACAUUCUUAGAAGUAUUGGGUCCACCUUUGAUUUCCAUUGAAUGGGGUCAUCUGUGUGAUGAGAGGUAUUAUUCUGCCAUCCUGGGAAAACCCGUGGGAAGCAGGGCGUGAUUUCUUGGAUCAUCAAAAGCUCAGGCCUAUAGUCAGAACGAGCUGGCUGCAUGUUGGUUUUUCUGAACGCAACAUAAUAUGCAGAACAGAUCUGUAUAAUGGGCGGUUUGCUUUGUGGACUUUCAAUUUUUCGUGUUUCCACCUAUUCAAAGCGCUUAGGAUAUAUCAGUGCAAAGGAACAUCCUGCUGAAGAUUGUGACGGACACGCUAUUUCACAGUUUAAAGAAAUGGCUCCAAAUGAAUUGCAAUUCGUUUUACUAUGACCCUGGCUAAAUCUAACUGACAGGUGCCGCCAAGCAUUUAACUGGACCAUAAACCAAACUGAGAUCAAAGGAUUCCCCCAGCUUCCCGCACCACCGCCCAGUUUAGAGUAAUUCAGCAGCUCUGGGUACCUGACAGCUGGCCUUAUCCCCUCCCCGCACAUAGUAAAGGACGAGGGAGGGCAAUGUGGUGUAAAUGAGUCAAAAAAGCACCAGCGACUGGCUGUGAGUCACGCAGCGAGGGGAUCGUACCCUUUGUUUCCUGCUUAUAACUCGAACACUGUUACACUCAUCAGGGCUUCUUUUUCAAAAAGAUACAAUGUUCCCCUUUUCACAUUUGUGGUGAAAUGUGAAAAGGAGACGGGCUGAGGUCAAUGGCGAGCUUGUUCCUCAGGACAGUUCACUCCUGAUUUUGGUUGCCCGUUCCUUCUUCGCUUGGAUUGAUGGAGAGCAAACCCACAGGAUUUCAUACUGGUGGGGCAGCAGCCCAGAGUGGCCCUCAAAGAGGGAAACUGGGUUCCAGCCCCGGCAGUACUAUCCCUCAGGGUGUGACUGGGGAGACAGAAGCCACUUGAUAUAUCGGAGGGUUUCAUAUUGGAUUUGCUGAACUGAAGGGGCUGGGGGAGCAGAGAUCAAGGGCACCCAGCCCUGCCUGCUGGAAUCUCAGCCGCAGUGGGGAAUGCUGGAAGCUCUGCAGCCUUAUGCUCGCUUAGUAUUCUGUCUGCAGAGGUGGACUGGGCUGGGGAGGCACCUCAGGUCUCAUGCCUGCCCGACCCCAGAGUAAUGUCCUUGCCACCUCUCUCCCAUCCCAAAUCUCAGGCAGUGCCACCCAUUGGAAGUUUCUGUGCAAACCAGAUGCCUGUGGGGAGUCUGGGCCCUGAGCCCGGCUUCUCCGUGAUUCAGGGGUUCCUGGGGAGAGGUGAUACCAAGUUAAGGAGGGAGUGCAUAGAAACGUCCACGAGGCCCCUGCAGCUACAACAGUGGGGGCUGAAGGGAACACGCUGGAGUUGGAACAAUGUGUGGGGAUUUCUGAACACUGCAUCCCCGGUGCAUCAGGAUGGGGCACUGUGGCUAGGCACAGUGGCUCACGCCUGGAAUCCCAGCACUUUGGGAGGCUAAGGCAGGUGAAUUGCUUGAAUGCAGGAGUUUGAGACCAGCCUCGGCAAUGUUAGGAGAUCCCAUCUCUACAAAAAAAAAUUUUUUUAAUUAGCUGGGCAUGAUGGUGCUCGCCCGUGAGCCCAGUUACUUGGGAGGCUGAGGAGGGAGAAUCUCUUGAGCCCAGUAGGUCCAGACUACAGUGAGCUAUGAUCGUGCUCCUGCACUCCAGUCUGAGUGACAGAGAGAGACUCCAUCUCCUAAAUAAACAAAAAAGAUGGGAACUGGGUACCCAGCACCUCCCCCUGGGAGUUCGGGAGGAGAGACUCGGGCAGACUGCUCAUGUUCCCAAGGGGUUCAGACCUCAUCAGCAGGGGCCUGGAUGGAGGUGGCAGCUAAGGGGAGGGUGCGGCGGAGGGAGGGAGGAAGCUCUUUCCACCAGCUGUGGUUGGUCAUGAAGGAAUGAGGUCUGAGUUUGGGGACAGUGGUUCUCACCUGCGGUGUUGUUGCCCCACUGAUGGUGAUUUGGCAGUGUCUGGACACAGUUUUGGUUGUCACAACCUGUGCGGGAGUGGGGGUGGUUGCUACUGGCAUCUAUUGGUGUAGAGACCAGGGAUCUGCCCAGCAUCCUGCAGUGCGCAGGGCAGUUCCCACAACUGAGAGUCAUGUGGCCCCCCGUGCCGACUGUGCCAAGGCUGGGACUGACCCUGCUCCAGGGCACUGAAGUGGGGGAGGUAUACGCACACAAGGACCUAUGGGCUAGCUGGCAUCAGGCGGCAUGGACAGUUGACCCAAAGAGGAUGCUCUCCCACUCCAUUUUGGUUUUCCUUGGGUGAAUUCUGGAAACAGCACUGUUGCUCUGAUGGUCUCCUUAUUCACCAUGAACUGAGAGCACCAUGGGCGUGCCUGGGAAUGAGCAGAAAGUUAGAUCCUUUUUGGAGGUGCAAGGUGAGAAAGGGGAGAAAUCUGUGUUCUCUAAGAAAUCUCUUUACCUGCUUUGCUUUACAGCUGAGGGCCUUGCCUGCGACACUCUGUGGGAUGUGUGUGGGGGUAGGUAGGUGGAGAGAGACAGAGAGAGAGACGGCGGCGGGGGGGAAGGUGGGGUGGCAGAUACGGGUGGAGAGAGAGAGACUGCCGCUUCUGGGUGGGAACAGAGGGUGCCAGCGUGAAUUGGCACUGUCCUAUUGCUGUGAUGAUGACUUUUUCCUCCCUGCAGCUCCGGAGCACUUGGAAGUGGUUCUGAAGCUCAUUUGCAGCUUUGCAUCUGUUUGCAUGGGCGUCUGCUGCUUGGAGUUGAGGCUUCCUGCCUGCAUUGGCUGUCUGAGGCUGAGCUCCCUACCUACCCGCAGAGUCCCUGCCCCCCACGUCCACUCCCAACAGUGUGAUGGGACAGCUCCUCCCGCAAGUGCUUUGUGGAAGGAGACCUGCAGGAACCCAAAACAGCAGUGCUGCAGCCAGGGCGGUGCCCUCUGCUUUCCUCUGUUUCCUGGGCUCCGGGAGAAUUCUAUCUUGGGUCCGAGAAAAACUCACACAGCAGACUGGCUGGCCCAGGGCUGACUCGGUGUUUCUUUCUCCCUCUAGGAAGGCCUGGCUGGAAUCAGCACAUUUUGUGGAAGUGGGAACCAAUACACGUGUACACUUCUCUUUACAGGGCACGCUAUCAUCACUAACUACUUGUUGAACUAUUUUCCCGGUCUUGACCUUGAAAGGAGAAACGCAUUCGGGUUCACCGCCCUGAUGAAAGCCGCCAUGCAGGGUCGAACGGACUGCAUCCGAGCCCUGAUGCUAGCAGGUAUGUCCACCUGUCCCGUGCAACUUCCGGGGGCCCCGGGACACCAGAGUUGCUCCUUUAAGGAAUAUAUUUUGAGAUUAAUCACUCCCAUAGAAACAACGCCUAGCUGCUGCAAUAAGGAAUAGUUUCUUCACUGAGGUACACUGCUGUAAUUAUCUGAGUUUUUUAAAAAGCCAACAACAAAUGCUUUCAGGAUCACGGGGAGAAGCCAUGCAUUUGUUCCCUUCAGGACGCCCCUUCCUGCUCCCUGCUGAGCUUUGCAGUGGGUGGCAUCUUCCCUCACCUUCUGUUUUCCUCCUGCUCACCCAUUCUACACCCCCAGCCCUGUCCAUAUCUGUUCUUCCUCAGAAAGGGGUGAUCUCUUGGCUGUAAAUGGCAAGACUGUGCUGUUGAAGGUGGGUGUAGGGAUGGUGGGAACGGCCCAGGCCAUCCUAGGUCCCUGCUUGCUGGUGGGUGGCAUUGCAUAGUAAUGUUACGAGGCGAUGUGGAGUUGCAUGGUAAUGUUAGGAGGUGAGGCGGAGUUGCCUGGUAACAUUGGGAGGUGAUGUGGAGUUGCAUGGUAACAUUAGGAGGUGAUGUGGAGUUGCAUGGUAACGUUAGGAGGUGACGUGGAGUUGCAUGGUAACGUUGGGAGGUGACGUGGAGUUGCAUGGUAACGUUGGGAGGUGACGUGGAGUUGCAUGGUUACGUUAGGAGGUGAUGUGGAGUUGCAUGGUAGUGUUAGGAGGUGACGUGGAGUUGCAUGGUGACAUUAGGAGGUGAUGCUGAGUUGCAUAUUAAUGUUGGGAUGUGAUAUGGAGUUGCAUGGUAAUGUUGGAAGGUGACGUGGAGUUGCAUGGUGAUGUUAGGAGGCAACAUGGAGUUGCAUGGUGACGUUAGGAGGUGAUGUGGAGUUGCAUGGUAACGUUAGAAGACGACAUGUUGUGUGGUAACAUUAGGAGGUGACGUGGAGUCACAUGGUGACGUGGAGUCGCGUGGUGGCGUUGGUGGAGUCAGCAGGUGGCGUGGAGUCGGCGUGGUGGCGUUAGCGGUGACGUGAGUCGCGUGGUGGCGUGAGGUGGCGGUGAGUCGGCGUGGUGGCGUUAGGAGGUGGCGAUGGAGUCGGAGCAGGUGACGUGGAGUCGCGUGGUGACGUUAGCAGGUGACGUGGAGUCGCGUGGUGACGUUAGCAGGUGACUGCGGAGUUGCGUGGUAAUGUUAGUAGGCAAUGUGGUAUUGCAUGGUGAUGUAUGUGGCAAUUUCUGUUUUCUUUGAUGUGUCAUAGAGUGGAAAAUUCUCAGGCUAUCAAACUGAAUCAACCUCCCUUUGUCUUUCGCGCCAUCUUGGAGAAAGCACUUUCCUGUUCCAUCUGUGAAAUGGGAGUAAUGACCUUUCUCCCUCACCUCCCUGAGGCUAAAAUAUGACAACACUUUAUAUACUGCUAAAGGCUAUCCGGCUGCAAUGAGCUACUAAGCUAAAUGCUACACAACUAAUAGCUUUAAUUCUGUUCUUCACUCUGAAAUAGAAUCAAUGAUCAUCCUUCGGGCAACCUCUUCGGGUUAUUUUGAGAAUUAAGUGAGAAAAUAUGUGUCAAGCACAUGUGGUGUUAGAUUCAGUGAGCAGCUGAAAUCUCGGUGAAUGUGCGAUGCUGCUUUCACCGUUACUUAAUUCUGUUAUUUUAAUUUCUCUUUAUUUUUGCUCUUGGCACUGGGUUCAGCCAGUCCUGCUUGGCACUGCAAGUUCCUAAAGAAGUGGAUUUCCUCUCUGUUCUUACUUGUUCUGCUGCUGUAACAAAAUACCUCACCUGGGUAAUUUAUAAACUGUAGAAAUGUAUUGCUACACCUGGGGAGGCUGAGAAGCCCAAGAUCAGGGUGCCGGCAGGGCCGAUGUCUGCUGAUGCCCAUUCCUUCUUGCUGUCUCCUCUCAUGGCAGAGCGGACGCCGAGGCACCCUCAAAACCUCUUUCAUAAGGCACUAGUUUGAUUCAGGAGGGCACAGCCUUCGUAAUCUAAUCAUCUCCUCAAGGCCUCACCUCUUAAUGCCAUCCCAGGGAGUCUAAAGUUCCAGCAUAGGAAUUUUGGAGGGUCGUCACCAUUCAGACCACAGCAUCACCCCUGUCUUGAUUAUCCUGAGGGUGGCAUCAGAGUUUUCCCAGGCAUCGGUGCUUCCAGUAAUGUCACUUUUCUGUUCCAGGACCCCUGCUGGGCUCCCACAUUUAGUUGUCUUCUUAGUUGUCCCCAGUCUUUUUCUUCUUUUUUUGUCUUUUUUUUUUGAGACAGUCUCACUUUGUCGCUGUCCCUAGUCGUCGUCUUCUUUCCAGUCUUCUUCUUCUUUCCAGUCUUCUUCUUCUUCUUCUUUCUUUUUUCUUCUUUCUUCUUUUUGAGACACACUGUGUCACCCAGGCUGAAGUGCAAUAGCGCAAUCUGGGCUCACUGCAACCUCCACCUCCCGGGUUCAAGUGAUUCUCCUGCCUCAGCCUGCCGAGUAGCUGGGAUUACAGGCACCUACCACCACACCCGGCUAAUUUUUGUAUUUUUAGUAGAGACGGGGUUUCACCACAUUGGCCAGGUUGGUCUCGAACUCCUGACGUCAGGUGAUCUGCCCGCCUUAGCCUCCCAAAGUGUUGGGAUUACAGGCGUGAGCCACCACAUCCCACCCCUAGUCUCUUCUUGGGUCUGUGAAGUUUCUGUCAUAACCUGUUGCCCGUGACGGGACAGUCUUGAUUCCAGCCAGUGUGCCGCGCUGCCUCGUCUCAGCCUAUCUGUUGUUUUUCUCGAGAUCAGUCUGGAGUUACAGGAUUCACAACUGCUUCAGAUUUAUCUUUCCUUCUGCUUUAACCUUAGGGGAUUCUUUAGUCGUAGGGGAUGCUAUAAGAAAAAUAAGUUCAGUGAAUAAGAAUAGAGGCUUCAAAGAUGAAAACUUUCUUGGAAAUAAAGAAAAAAAA